GGGGCAUUAGCUCAUCUGGGAGAGCGCCGCCUUUGCAAGGCGGAGGUGAUCGGUUCGAGCCCGAUAUGCUCCACCA
rnacentral:tRNA from 1 species